UUCCCGCUUGGUCUUAAGCUUAGAGAGGUUAGAUAUAGAGCAAAGAAAAGAGUAAAACAGGGGAGGGGUGAAAAAUGAGAAUGCUUCAGCUUGCUGAAAACAAAAUACCUUAGGUGUAGUUUUCACUUCUUUCCGUAUGCUCUCUGUCUCUUCAUUGGAUCUCAGACAAGGAAGGAAAAAGCAACUGUAAGUGCAGCGAAGUUCUUGUGAUCACUUGAAGCUCAACCAAAUCAGGUUUUAGGUAACUAGAGAAACGCUCUCAAAUAUUGCAACUCUCAGCGGUAACAAUGAAGAGAAUGUAAAGGAGAGUAAACACAACACGCCAAGGAGGAACCGAGGAAUCCAACCAUGGAGACAUCUGACACCCCACAAGUUAUAUAAUGUGACUCUUGUGUGGACAGCCACAGCAAGGCCCUGACCUGUCUAGUUUCAGGAGCACGAAAGGAACACAACUGCAUCUGUGGUGGAGGCACGCACACAAAUUCAGCCCGCCCAGCACCAGGCACCGUUGACCAGAAGAAUCCUCUCCAGUCCUGGUCCUCGAAGAUGUACGGAAGGAUGCGAGUCAGGAUGCGAGUGCAGUUCAGGAUCACCUGCUUCUCCCUCUCUGUGGGGCAACCAGACUCUGCACCCUGCACCAGUUUCUCCACGGCCUGAGGCAGCUUCAAACGGAAGCUGGGACAGAGAGACGGGAAGCAAAGGGAAAGGAAGGGGAGUUGGCUAUUUUAUUCCCACAUCUGAGAGCAUGAGGCAGUGCCUUGCUGACAGACUGUGCCAAGCUCUAACAAACAACAUUAUUCCAUGAUGUAGCCACAACGCAAGGGACGGCCCCAUGCAA